rnacentral:tRNA from 1 species
GGAGAGGUGGCAGAGUGGUCGAUUGUGCAGCAUUGGAAAUGCUGUGUCCCUUCACGGGGACCGCGGGUUCGAAUCCCGCCCUCUCCGC